AGCGAACGCUGGCGGCAGGCUUAACACAUGCAAGUCGAACGGGCGUAGCAAUACGUCAGUGGCAGACGGGUGAGUAACACGUGGGAACGUACCUUUUGGUUCGGAACAACUGAGGGAAACUUCAGCUAAUACCGGAUAAGCCCUAACGGGGAAAGAUUUAUCGCCGAAAGAUCGGCCCGCGUCUGAUUAGCUAGUUGGUGGGGUAAUGGCCCACCAAGGCGACGAUCAGUAGCUGGUCUGAGAGGAUGAUCAGCCACAUUGGGACCGAGACACGGCCCAAACUCCUACGGGAGGCAGCAGUGGGGAAUAUUGGACAAUGGGGGCAACCCUGAUCCAGCCAUGCCGCGUGAGUGAUGAAGGCCCUAGGGUUGUAAAGCUCUUUUGUGCGGGAAGAUAAUGACGGUACCGCAAGAAUAAGCCCCGGCUAACUUCGUGCCAGCCGCCGCGGUAAAAC
rnacentral:rRNA from 1 species